UGAGAGCCCGUGUUGUUGCAUCCCCCAGUUCCCCGGUCUGUCAUGGCAGCGCCCAGGCCUCCAGCCGGUGUGUGGACCCGAGAUGUUGAGCUUUUUGUCCGCUCGACAGUCGGGUUUGGAGGACCCUCUUCGCUUGCGUAGAGCGCAGUCCACACGGAGGGUCCUGGGGCUGGAGUUAAACAAAGACAGGGAUGUGGAAAGAAUCCAUGGCAGUGGGGUUAACACCCUCGACAUUGAGCCCGUUGAAGGAAGAUACAUGUUGUCAGGUGGCUCCGAUGGCGUGGUUGUACUCUAUGACCUUGAGAACGCCAGCAGACAGCCCCAUUACACAUGUAAAGCAGUGUGUUCCGUUGGCAGAAGCCAUCCCGAUGUUCACAAAUACAGCGUGGAGACUGUUCAGUGGUAUCCUCAUGACACUGGCAUGUUCACAUCCAGCUCAUUUGAUAAAACUCUGAAAGUGUGGGAUACAAACACAUUGCAGGCUGCAGAUGUGUUUAAUUUUGAGGAAACAGUUUACAGUCAUCACAUGUCCCCAGCAGCCACCAAGCACUGUCUGGUAGCAGUUGGAACAAGAGGACCCAAGGUACAACUUUGUGACUUAAAGUCUGGAUCCUGUUCUCACAUUCUACAGGGUCACAGACAGGAAAUCUUGGCAGUUUCCUGGUCACCACGCCAUGACUAUAUCUUGGCAACAGCAAGGUGCACAUGUAUGAGUGUAAGCCAGCGGCUGACACUGGGGUUGUCGUCCUCCACUGGAUUUAUUCAGAAGCUCUCCACUGAGCCUUGAGCGCAUCAGUUUAGUGCUGACAGUAGAGUAAAAUUAUGGGAUGUGAGAAGAGCGUCAGGAUGCUUGCUUACUCUUGACCAGCAUAAUGGGAAAAAGUCACAAGCUGCUGAAUCAGCAAACACUGCUCACAAUGGGAAAGUUAACGGCUUAUGUUUUACAAGUGACGGCCUUCACCUGCUCACCAUUGGCACAGACAACCGAAUGCGCCUCUGGAAUAGCUCCAGCGGGGACAACACCCUGGUGAACUAUGGGAAGGUGUGUAAUGACAGCAGGAAAGGGCUGCAGUUCGCUGUCUCCUGUGGCUGCAGCUCAGAGUUUGUGUUUGUUCCCCACGGCAGCACCAUCGCUGUGUACGCAGUCCACUCGGGAGAGCGGCUCGCCAUGCUCAAGGGACAUUACAAAAGCGUCGACUGCUGUGUGUUCCAGCCUAAUUUCCAGGAACUUUACAGUGGAAGCAGGGACUGCAAUAUUCUUGCUUGGGUACCACCUUCCUAUGAGCCAGUUCCUGAUGAUGACGAUGAAGCUCCAGCCAAAUCCCAGUUAAACCCAGCAUUCGCGGACGCCUGGAGCAGCAGUGACGAGGAUGGGUGACUGUCAGCCCUGGCUCCUUGUCCAUCAGACUUCCACGACAGUGUUGUGUGCACUUCAGCACGAGCAGGGUUGUUCUUCCCGUUAUUGUUGGUUUUGAGACAGUGUCUCACGAUGUAACCCUGGCUAGCCUGGACUAGCCUGGAACUCUGUAUAGAGCAGACUCGGCUCACACUGGCAGCUAUUCUGCCUCUGCUCCCAGGUGCUGGGGUUAGAGGUGUAUACCACGUGGCCCCUCCUGUACAUGUGUGUGAUUGUUUGUUUCAUUGUUUGUAAACUCUUCAGUCAGUUUUUAACCUGUUAAUCCUGAGUUUGGGAUAUUUCCCUGUGUGCUUUAAAAUGAGAUCGAUGUGUAUGAUACCCUGAAAUAUACUUUUCUGUCGGUUAAUUAAUCAGAACUUGUCUCCUUGAGCGCAUUCACCAGGGUGGUGGGCCAGCCCCUACGGGCACAGCCCAAGAACAGACUUGUUAUUCCCAGCUGGGACCUUCAUAUGUGCAUCCAAGGAGCUGAAAGUAUGACCCAGGAAGCUCUCAGCUCUGACUCCUGACUGUGCUGCCAGCCUGCCCUUCCCACCUUCAGGGAGGAGUUUAGCAAGGAGGAUUAGAGAAACUUGUUGCAACAGUGGCAUCAUAAUGCUAGAUUUUUUACUCAAACUGAAUGGCUUCAUGUAAUCGAGCCUCUUCUCCCUCAUAUUGAAUGUUAGCCACUCAUGCAUCUUGCAGUGUGAACAUCGUAUCACAUAGGCAAUCCCUGACCACUUUGUAUUGCUCUCAGAGGGCAGCUUACACUCAGUCUUAAUUCCUUCCUGUGAAACUCAGCAAAAUCCAUGCAGGGAUGUAGAUUAAACAUGAAAUGCCAUACAA